UUGUCCGGAUUUAUUGGGCGUAAAGAGCUCGUAGGCGGUUUGUUGCGUCGGCUGUGAAAACCCGCGGCUUAACUGUGGGCUUGCAGCUGAUACGGGCAGGCUAGAGUUCGGUAGGGGAGACUGGAAUUCCUGGUGUAGCGGUGAAAUGCGCAGAUAUCAGGAGGAACACCGGUGGCGAAGGCGGGUCUCUGGGCCGAUACUGACGCUGAGGAGCGAAAGCGUGGGGAGCGAACAGG
rnacentral:rRNA from 1 species